UAGUGAUAAAUGUGUUACUGACUUACGUAUUUACUCUACUUUUAAUCAUUGUUUUGGAGUAUACUCCACCUACCUAUUAAAAAAAAGUUAACGGUAAAACAGUUUCACUUCAGACAGGUCUUUCAGGAGGUGUUCCAGAAGAAGGCUUUAGUAUCAUAGGGGAUGACAGCUCCAUGUGUGCUAUUCCCCCUAAAGACCUUCCACUGGGACAAGACGUGAGCGUGGAAGACAGUGAUAUUGAUGGUCCUGACCCUGUGUAGGUCUAAGCUAAUGUGUUUGUGUCUUUGUUUUUAACCAAAAAUUUACAAAGUAAAAAUUUUUUAAUUUUUUAAGUAGAAAAAAGCUUAUAGAAUAAGACUAUACAGGUACUAUUUUUGUACAGCUGUGCAAUGUGUUUAAGCUGUUAUUUCAAAAGAGUCAAAAAUUAAAAAAAAUUAAAAAGUAUAUAAAGUAGAUCCCCUCUCUUCACUCUCCGUGCCCGCUCUCCUGCUGUCAGCCCGCUCCGCUGCCUGCCCCGCCACCAUGACGGAACAAGCCAUCUCCUUCGCCACAGACUUCCUGGCAGGAGGCAUCCCCGCCGCCAUCUCCAAAAUGGCCAUGGCCCGGAUCGAGUGGGUCAAGCUGCUGCUGCAGGUCCAGCAUGCCAGCGAGCAGAUCGCUGCCGACAAGCAGUAUAAGGGCAUUGUUUACUGCAUCGUCCGCAUCCCCAAGGAGCAGGGCGUGCUGUCCUUCUGGAGGGCAACCUGGCCACCGUCAUCCUCUACUUCCCCACGCAAGCCCUCAACUUCACCUUCAAGCAUAAGAACAAGCAGAUCUUCCUGGGAGGCGUGGACAAGCACACGCAGUUCUGGAGGUACUUUGUGGGCAACCUGGCCUCCGGCGGUGCAGCCAGCGCGACCUCCCUGUGCUUCGUGUACCCCCUGGAUUUUGCCAGAACCUGCCGGGUAACUGACGUGGGAAAGUCAGGCACGGAGUGUGAGUUCCGAGGCCUGGGAGACUGCCUGGCAAAGACCACCAAGUCUCACGGUGUCCGCCGCCUGUCCCAGGGCUUCAGUGUCUCCAUGCAGGGCAUCAUCAUCUACCGGGCCGCCUACUUUGGCGUGUACGAUACGGUCAAGGGUGUGCUCCCCGACCGCAAGAAUACACACAUCAUGGUGGGCUGGAUGAUUGCUCAGACCCUGACGGCAGUGGCAGGUGUGGUCUCCUACCCCUUCCACACGGUGUGGCUGCGGAUGAUGAUGCAGUCGGGGCGCAAAGGAAGUGACGUCAUGUACACGGGCACCUUCCACUGUUGGAGGAAGACCUUCAGAGACGAGGGGGGCAAGGCCUCCUUCAAGGGUGCGUGGUCCAACGUCCUCUGGGGCAUGGGGGCGCCUUCGUGCUGGUCCUGUACGACGAGCCGAAGAAGGUCAUCUAAGGGCCUUGGCCCCCUCCACACACACCAGGGGAACCAAGAGAACCACUAGAAUCCUC